rnacentral:rRNA from 1 species
ACUCCUACGGGAGGCAGCAGUGGGGAAUCUUAGACAAUGGGCGCAAGCCUGAUCUAGCCAUGCCGCGUGAGUGAUGAAGGCCUUAGGGUUGUAAAGCUCUUUCAGCUGGGAAGAUAAUGACGGUACCAGCAGAAGAAGCCCCGGCUAACUCCGUGCCAGCAGCCGCGGUAAUACGGAGGGGCUAGCGUUGUUCGGAAUUACUGGGCGUAAAGCGCACGUAGGCGGAUUGGAAAGUCAGAGGUGAAAUCCCAGGGCUCAACCUUGGAACUGCCUUUGAAACUAUCAGUCUGGAGUUCGAGAGAGGUGAGUGGAAUUCCGAGUGUAGAGGUGAAAUUCGUAGAUAUUCGGAGGAACACCAGUGGCGAAGGCGGCUCACUGGCUCGAUACUGACGCUGAGGUGCGAAAGCGUGGGGAGCAAACAGGAUUAGAUACCCCACUGCUGCCUCCCGUAGGAGUGUCAGU